CCUACGGGGUGCAGCAGUGGGGAAUAUUGGGCAAUGGGCGCAAGCCUGACCCAGCAACGCCGCGCGAGGGAUGAAGGUUUUCGGAUCGUAAACCUCUUUCAGGAGGGAAGAAAGCGCAUGGCGCCAAUCAGCCAUGCGUUGACCGUACCUCCACAGGAAGCGCCGGCUAACUCCGUGCUAGCAGCCGCGGUAAUACGGAGGGCGCGAGCGUUAAUCGGAAUUACUGGGGGUAAAGCGCGCGUAGGCUGUUGUGUAAGUUGGGGGUGAAAUCCCACGGCUCAACCGUGGAACAGCCCUUGAUACGGCGCGACGUGAAUCCGGGAGAGGGUGGCGGAAUUCCAGGUGUAGGAGUGAAAUCCGUAGAUAGUUGGAGGAACAUCAGUGGCGAAGGCGGCCACCUGGACCGGUAUUGACGCUGAGGCGCGAAAGCGUGGGGAGCAAACAGGAUUAGAUACCCCUGUAGUC
rnacentral:rRNA from 1 species